ensembl:lncRNA
GGGGACCCGAGUUUUUCCGCACCUCCCGCGGAAAUGAACGAGGUUGCUCCGCAGGCUCAGUACAGCUGGGGAGAGUUAAUGGACGAGAUAUCUCCGGAACUUCCUAACCUCUUUGAAUCACACCCUUUGGCAGGGGACAAAGAGGAGGAGGAUGAAGAUGAUGAGACGAUUGCCCGUCUCUUAAAGGAGGAUUUGGAGGAUGAUGAAGAGGACGUUAUCCUCCCUCCUAAUCUUUCUUCCAGGCCUGGCAGUGCGAUCAGUGAGUCCCCCUCCCCCAUGCCAGGGGAAUUGGACCUUACUGAAAUGUGUAGAAGAGCGACUGCUAAACUCUCUGUUGACUGGCCAUCUCAGCAAGAGGGCCAGGGUACAGAGAGGGAUUUAUAUGAUGGAAAGAGGCUGCCACCGCGUACUUUCCCAGUCAAGCAGCUGCUACCAGCCGUCCCAGCAUGUGUCACAGAGAUGCGGCACUACUGGGACAAACCCUUCUCACUUAGGGUUCCUGUUAAAUGUUUUUUUCGGCUGAACGUUCAUAAUAUGGAAGACUUGGGGAUGUCCAACCCACCUCCAGUCGAAUUGUCGGUGGCAAGUCACCUCCACCCCAAUCGACGGGCAGCCCUAUCCUCCUCCUCUCCUUCUCUGCCAGUAAGGACAGAGAGGUUGUCUGCUUCUCUUUUUCAAAAAAUUUACUGCUCCUUUGCCCUGGCUGUCAGAGCCCUAAAUGCCACCUCACUGCUCACAGCAUACCAAGCUGAGCUCAUGGAGGAGAAGGGGAGGCAGAUUGAUGCUGGGUCACCUGAUUCAGCUUUGUGGGAAGAGAUCUGCGUCAUUGCAGAUCUCAACCUGCGGUCUUCAAGGGAAGCAGUCCAGAGCUGCAUGGGCCUGGCCGUGGUGGGUGAAAGAGCUCUGUGGUUGGGCCUGACGGGUUUAUCAGAAAGGGAGAAGGCAGAUUUCUUCGAUGCCCCAGUGGAGCCGAAAGCCCUUUUGGGACUGCAGUGACAAAUAUGUGUCAGCAGUGCGACUUGCGCAAGAAGGAUGGGGAAGUUUUUGAAACUUGCCUUCCCAGGAAGCCGACUGCUCGGCCACCCCAACCCAUGCGUCCAGGGUUUGCCCCCAGCAAUCAAUGCAGAGGGAGGUUCAUCCAAAACAGCCCCAGCCUA